UACAGAGGGGGCAAGCGUUGUUCGGAAUUACUGGGCGUAAAGGGCGCGUAGGCGGCCUUCUAAGUCGAACGUGAAAUCCCCGGGCUCAACCCGGGAACUGCGUCCGAUACUGGAAGGCUUGAAUCCGGGAGAGGGAUGUGGAAUUCCAGGUGUAGCGGUGAAAUGCGUAGAUAUCCGGAGGAACACCAGUGGCGAAGGCGACUUUCUGGCCUGUUCUUGACGCUGAGGCGCGAAAGCUAGGGGAGCAAACGGG
rnacentral:rRNA from 1 species